rnacentral:lncRNA from 10 species
CUCCUCCCCAGAAAGCUGCUGGGAAGCUGGGCAGGGAGCUCCGGAGCCCACAAGCCCACCCCCUCACUCCUCCCAGCCUGGGCCUCAUCUUCCAGUCUGGGCUAGCCCUCCGCCGCUUCUCCAGGACGUGCAUCUCUCUGUACCCACGCAUCCCAUUCUUCCUCCUCCCGCCUCUACAAACCUUCCUCUCCCAACGUUCUACACUUGGAAACAAAGGCCAGAACAACUUGCAGCCUACUGGUUUUCUCUUGGGCCACAAACCUCCAACACAAUGAGUAAAGAGGCUGAAGUGGGGCAAGCGGGAAACCACUGCCUGAAAACUGCUCAUUCUUAUGAUAAACAUAGAAUCAUCUCAAAUCAUCAGCCCCACAGGCUCUGGGCAGGGCCCCUCUCCCUCCCCGCUCCCUGCCUUCCCCUCCAGGCAUUUGUGUGCUUCCCACCCUUCCCGAGUCCCAGUUCUGACCAGGGCAGGCUAGAGGACCCAAGAGUCCUUCCAGAGGCUUUCUCUAUGAGCAGUGCUCAA